rnacentral:rRNA from 1 species
CCUACGGGUGGCAGCAGUGAGGAAUAUUGGUCAAUGGACGAGAGUCUGAACCAGCCAAGUAGCGUGAAGGAUGACUGCCCUAUGGGUUGUAAACUUCUUUUAUAUGGGAAUAAAAUGUUCCACGUGUGGGAUUUUGUAUGUACCAUAUGAAUACGGAUCGGCUUACUCCGCGCCAGCAGCCGCGGGACUACGGAGGAUCCGAGCGUUAUCCGGAUUUAUUGGGUUUAAAGGGAGCGUAGGUGGAUUGUUAAGUCAGUUGUGUAAGUUUGGGGCUCAACCGUACAAUUGCAGUUGAUACUGGCAGUCUUGAGUACAGUAGAGGUGGGCGGAAUUCGUGGUGUAGCGGUGAAAUGCUUAGAUAUCACGAAGAACACCGAGUGCGAAGGCAGCUCACUGGACUGCAACUGACACUGAGGCUCGAAAGUGUGGGGAGCAAACAGGAUUAGAUACCCCGGUAGUC